rnacentral:rRNA from 1 species
CCUACGGGAGGCAGCAGUGAGGAAUAUUGGUCAAUGGACGAGAGUCUGAACCAGCCAAGUAGCGUGAAGGAUGACUGCCCUAUGGGUUGUAAACUUCUUUUAUAAAGGAAUAAAACGAGGCACGCGUGCCUUUUUGCAUGUACCUUAUGAAUAAGGAUCGGCUAACUCCGUGCCAGCAGCCGCGGUAAUACGGAGGAUUCGAGCGUUAUCCGGAUUUAUUGGGUUUAAAGGGAGCGUAGAUGGGUUGUUAAGUCAGUUGUGAAAGUUUGCGGCUCAACCGUAGAAUUGCAAUUGAUACUGGCGGUCUUGAGUACAGGUGAGGUAGGCGGAAUUCGUGGUGUAGCGGUGAAAUGCUUAGAUAUCACGAAGAACCCCGAUUGCGAAGGCAGCUUACUAAACUGUGACUGACGUUGAUGCUCGAAAGUGUGGGUAUCAAACAGGAUUAGAUACCCGAGUAGUC